GCAAAUGUUUCAAAGUUUAAAUUGUUAGUAAAUAUUUCAGUUUUUCUAUUAGUCAUUAAUAGUAGAUUGGAAUGGUACUUAAAUUUUAUUCAUAUUGAAUAACAGAACUGUAAAAUAUGUUUAAGUAUUGAAAUAAAACAAUUUUCUGAUUUGGAUCUCUGGAUUUCAUUUCAAUUUCAUAAUAUUAUUGUAAGAUCUGGAAUUUCACCCACAAUGUAUUAUUCCAUGAGUCAUCAACGAAAUCGAAGAUGGCGUGGCGUAGUAGCUGUUCGAGAUCGCCGUGUCGCCGAGUCGCCUUCGACCGCGGUCGCUGGCCGCCACCACCGGGGCCCAGCCUCUAUGACCACCCUGCAGUUCCGUACAAUGAGAAACCCGCGUGAGCGCGUCCCGGUAUCAGCCCAUAUUAGGUAAACCUCAAAGGUUGCGAUAAUAUCAAUUUGCCACAAAAACUAUUAUGUAUAACUGUGUGAAGGCCAUGUCAUACUUUCUUGAGCUCGCCCAAGGCGAUUCGUGUCUGCUAAUAUUUUCCUAGCCCAUCCGAAGCCCAUCGCCGACCGAGGUGCGAUUGCGUCACACCCCAAUCGCCGACUUCACAACAUCAGCACGGGGAACAUGACGCAAGGCGUAUCUUGCAUCACGCGCCUAAUUGCUGACGCACGACCGUCGAUCACCCCUGUCGCACGCCGUGUCGUGUCGGUCGUCGGUUCCCCGUGGAAACGAGUCGGUGGUGAGUUGGUGAUGCUUACGUGUAACUUAGUUGCCCUUCAAUUUUCUAUUUCUCAAUUAGGUGUCGAGUUUAGCAAAAUUGCAACAGUGGGACCUUUGCCUACGUGUGCAGCCUUUUCACUAAUGCUAAUAGUCCAGCCACAAAAGGCGCAGGCAGUGAUGGUUGGUUACCUAUAACUUGUGGGCUCGAGACCGUAGCCGAUGUACUAUGUCUUCCCGUAGCACGAAAUAAAACAAUGACCUGAGGUGCAACCUGCAUCAAUAAUACAAAAGGAGUAAGCUUUGGAGAUUACAAUGACGUGAAACUAAUAUAAUUCUAUCGUAUUUCUUAUAACUGUUUGCGAAAACGAACACAAUAAAGACAUGAGACCUUACACGAAUUAGCUAUCUGAAAACGCAAAGGGCUUGAUGAAAAAUGCUAUCAUCGCAGCGGCUGAUACGUAGGACGACGCGAACGCACAUUAACUUAAGUCGUGUGGUGAAACCUUCGAGAAAGGGUCGCCCAAACGAAACUGGAUUAGGCACGCUCAAAUUCCCACGUAUUCUGAAACUGAUAUGAAUCUAACAAGGAAACUUAAUCAUAGUAUAAUUUUAAAGAAAAAAUAAUAUAAACAAGUACUGAUUUUAACGAAGUCAGGGUAUGUAAGUGGCAAGCUUCAUUAUGUUCUUUUUAACUUAAC